rfam:Carnobacterium sp. CP1, complete genome.
CCACAACUACAACCGCGCGGGAAUGAGUAUACAAGACCAGCAAUGGCGCUCAUAACGGCGAGUCUAAGUCUAAUA